GCCCUUUCAAUUUGGCGCGCCCGUCCCUAUAUCGAUCGCGCCGGACUUGUCCGGAGAUGGCGAUGAAUGAUGUCGUGGAAUAGAUGCAGCGGACCCGGGGGCAGUACCCGGCGGCUCCACCAAAAACCCGUCUCGGCGGGCUUCUGACGGGGCCGAACCAGGAUCGACGUGUGUUCAAAGACGAUGUUUUCGCCCGGCCUGAAUGCGCCGUAAAACCGUUCAAAACCACAAGUGCCAAUGACAACGAGGCGCUCGCGAUUGCCGCGUAAUCACGGCCUAACGGCUUAGAUUACAAGGCUUGAACGCGGUUCGGGCCGAACCGGGCAACAGAAUCGGAUUCCG
rnacentral:tmRNA from 1 species